ACAAUUUGUAAACAAUUUGUUAUUUGAUGUAAAUAUCUGAACUGUUAGCUUUCUUAGAUAUAUAUAAGAUAUCGUUGCUGCUUAGUGAACUCGGAAGUUAGUUUAUAGAUAAGUGCUAGUCUGAGUAAUGCUGAUUGAUUAAUUGAUUGGUGUUUACUGAAUAGAGAGUAGCUUAUAUAUCAUAUAAAUUUAUAGGGGUUUCAGUGGCUGGAAGGUUUAAGGUGAUACCCAACACUUUCACUAAAAUUAAUUUGGCUCGUUUAAUUUUCAUAAAAUUUUGACGAAGUAUUUACUUUGACCCUUUAACAAAAAUAUAAAAAUUCCAAAAAUUUGAACCAACCAAUUUAUCAGAAAAAUUACCCUGGUUAUAUAGCAGUUUGACAAACACUAAUUUUGAUCAUUGAGAAGCUUAAUAUUCCCUUAACAGCACAACAUAAUUAAAACGUUUAGCUGAUUUUACAGAGUUAUCUCCCUGUAGUAUUAGGUACCACCUUAAGUAGUAGAUCUACUGCAUCACUAGCCUUUCAACAAUGACGUUGUGAAUUUCAAUCCUGCGGCAGGGAGGUGCACUCAACCUCAAUCUUCAAUAAUUGACUAGGAUUGUUAGAUUUCCUACCAAAGGUUGCUUGUUCUCUCAGGGCUUUCCAGCUUCCUCCAUAGAAAAAUUAAAAUGAUGCUAUAAAAUAGCAAAAUAAUUUUGAAAGGGAUGUUAAACACCAAUCAAUCAAUUAAUCAAUCAAUGCAUAUUCAUGUUGACCCAAUAAGAAUUGUUAGUAAAUUUACAUUACAUCGAAGCGUGAAACAUAUUUACUAGGUAUAAAUAUUAAAUACUUGACAUUCCAC
rnacentral:lncRNA from 1 species